CCUAACAGCCAUAUCACUCUGUAACUCUCAACUGACUACCCCUUGAAGCUAAGCAGGGUUGAGCCUGGUCAGUGCCUGGAUGGGAGACCUCCUGGGACCCUAUGGUUGCUGCUGGAA
rnacentral:rRNA from 1 species